UGGUCUCAGGAUCACAGCCACACGUCAGUGAGGAGAAGUGCUCCAUUCUGGGACAUUUAAUAGACCUAAUAUUAGUCUUCUGCUUCAGGACAGCAGUGUCUCUAAGGCUUUCCAUCAUUUACCAGCAAUCCUGGCUAAACAGGAAGGUCCCAGUAGACUGGAAGUUAUCCUUGGUGACACCGCUCUUCAAGAAGGAUCAGAAUGACAAUCUGGGGGACUACAGGUUUUUCAACCUGACUGCAGUGCUGGGAAAAUCAUGGAGCAGAUAACCUUGAGUGCCACCAUGCAACCAUGUAAAGGAGAACCAGGAAGUCAGGCACAGCCAGCAUGCAUUUGUGAAAGUCAGAUCCUGCUUGACCAACUUCAUCUCAUUCUGUGACAGGUUGAUCCACUCAGUAGACGAAGGAAAGACUGUGGACGUCCUCUGCCUGGACUGUAGAAGAGCUUUUGUCACCAUUUCUCACAGUGCUCUUAUGAGUGUGUCCAGAGAAGGGCAAUGGAGUUGGGGAAGGGUUUGGAGCACAAUUCUGAUGAGGAGCAACUGAGGGAGCUGGGGCGUGUUUAGUUUGAGAGAGACCUUAUCACUCUCUACAGCUUUCUGAAAGAAGGUUGCAAUGAGGUGGGGAUUAGCCUCUUCUCCCAGGUAACGAGUGACUGGACAAGAGGCAAUGGCCUCAAGUUGCACCAGGGCAAGUUUAGAUUGGAUAGUGGGAAAAGUUUCUUCACCAAAAGGAUGUUCAUACAUUGGAGACAGGCUGCCUAGGGAAGUGGUGCAAUCAGCAUGCCUGAAGGUAUUUAAAAUAUGUGUAAAUGUGGCACUGAGGCACAUGGUUUAGUGGUGGAUUUGGCAGUGCUGGGCUAAUGUUUAGACUUGAUAAUCUUAACAGUCUUUUCCAACAUAAACCCUUUUAUGAUUCUAUGAAAACAGCCAUAAUAAUUAGUUUCAGAGGGAAUUGCAAAUAGCAAAUAGCAGUGACCUUUCUGCAUUCAGAGUGCUGUCUUCGUGCACACAUCUAAGAGGACAAACAGAGCAAAUUCAAGUGCCUAAGUUGAAACAAAAUCCCAGCAGGAUUUGGCACAACCCUGCACAGCUGCCAGCUGGAGAUGCCUCACUGCUGGGAGUAGGGAGGCAGACGUAGGGAGGGGUCCUGUGAUGGGACUACAGGAAGGGUCUGAAGGACACAGCAACCACAGGAACACAUGGUAGCUUCAGGAGCUCACCCCGAGCCACAGUCAUCUCAACAUUUAUAAUAUCAAACACCUGCAACACUUGCUGGGAAAAAGGAUUUUUUAAAAUCCUCAUUUAAUUGCAGGGAAGAAACUAUAGUAAUGCAGAUGGCCGGUAAAAAUCUUAGAAACACAGAAAAUUUGUAUAAACUAUCAUAAUGAGUUAAAAAAUGUACAAAAGUAUCUAGAUGUUGAGUGAACACUGCACUUUGUCACAAUUUAUUAUACUUGUUUAAAAAUUCAAAACCAAAAUGAAAUUACAUGAAUCAAAUAGGAGAAACCUUCAUCUCUUAAGCGGGACACAUAUCAUAGCAAAAGUGCUUGUUUAAGUGGGGGAGACUGGAAACUGCCUGAAAAUUAAAACAAUGUAAUUUUACAGGAAGAUCGAUGUAAACUACUGCACAGAUUUUCUCAUACCUAAUAAGUGCUGAGAGGAACUCAAACAGGCAAAUAUCUACCUGCAUCUCUGUAGCCAGUUAACAUAUUUUAGUACUGUAAAUGGGGGCUUCCUUUUCCACUGGCAGCCAUGUCAUGGCAGAUUUCACAACUGAAUUUUCACAAGCUGGUAGACUACACAAUGCCUUGGCAUGCAUACAGGAUCUCCCAGGGAAAGCAUGAAGCUAUCCCAACAUCCUGCUGUGAUUGCAGGGACGGACCCUUCUCACCUCUACACACCUGUUACAGUUAGGGAAGAGUGAGAAAGAAAAACUGAUAAAGAAUUCUUUUCCUUUAACAAAAUCAUCUGGUUUUUUUCACAUUUAGGUGAUCUUUUUAAAAUAUACACACACCCACAAGCCAGCUGCUAGGAGACGAGCUAAGAGACAAGAAGGAAUGUGCUUCACACAGGCUCAGAGCAGCUGUGGUUCUGCUGGUCAUGAAAGGAGAAAUCCACCACUGGGCCAUUUUUACUGAAAUGCAAGCCUGCAGAUUUCCCAUUUAAAACAGACAGCAACCAAAAUGUGGCCCUUAAGGUUUCAGAUGUCCACACAAGGUAAAUGAAAACUAAAUAAUCCUUCAAUUUUGAUGGUCAGAAUUUACACCUCAAUACUCACCAACAUGCUUUAAUUAAAAUAACUCUUCUUGAGUCACAUAGAAAGAGCAAUUCUGGUGAAUGUGUGAAUAUACCAAGUACAGAGGGCCUGCGCUGCCAUUUACAUGCACUGGCAGGCACUGAAAACAAGUCAGUUGCAGCAUCUCUUUUUGUCCCUUCAUUCCCUGUAGAAUGUCAUGGAGCAUCUAAACUGGAAAGAGGUCACUUCCUCUAGCAGUGGUCCUGUCCUCAGAGCACAUUAAUAGCAUGGCCUGACCCAAAAAUGUUUUGGAUACUGGAAUAAUCAAGGGUAUUAACCACUACUUAAAUGUAAAAAAAAAAUAUGAAGAAGGAAGAGAGAUUGUCAGUCUAACCAACAACAGGAAUAUUCAUGGUGACAUCACCCCAUCUCUCAUCCUGAGAGAGUCUGUGUAAGCUUUAACACACCAUCUGAGGAUACUUCUUACAGAACAGCUGCAUCUCAUGGAGACCUGUUCAACAAUCAUGCAAGCAAAAUGAAAGUAGAGUUUGAUUUUAGGAAUAAAUGGCCAGCAUUACAAAGAAACCUUGAGCCAACACCCACAUUGAAUUAAGAUGGCAUCUUCUCUCCUGCACCAGCUGCAAACACAGUGACCAGGGCUGAGAGCUGGCACGCAGAGGCUCAAAGAAUUGCAGAGCACUUUCAACCACCUAAACACCCUGCAGUGAUAAGUAUCAGGAACAUGUUUAUCUACAGCUUAUGGGAAAAAAACAGAAGAUUUUGACAUACUUCUUGAGGCAACCUGGCAGGGAGGUUGAGCAAGAAGAGAAAGGAUGGGGACCUACGUGUGACAGACCUGGGGAACACAGGCCAAGAUUCCAAGAACUUCUACCACUGUCAAUCUCUAGUGCAGCUUAGUGUUUGAUCUUUUUUGAAAGUCCAAACCCACAGGUCAUGGCUGGCUCCUUGUCUGUGUAUGACUUAUGUCAUGCAUGUUAGAGGCAGUCUCUCAGCUGGCAAAAUAAAGUUUACUUACCAGUA